UCUCCGUUGGUGAACCAGCGGAGGGAUCAUUGCUGGAAGCGUCUCACGGCGCACCCAGAUACCCUUUGUGAACCUAUACCUAUCUGUUGCCUCGGCGCAAGCUACCCGGGACCUCGCGCCCCGGGGCGGCCCGCCGGCGGACAAACCAAAACUCUUGUUAUCUUAGUUGAUUAUCUGAGUGUCUUAUUUAAUAAGUCAAAACUUUCAACAACGGAUCUCUUGGUUCUGGCAUCGAUGAAGAACGCAGC
rnacentral:misc_RNA from 1 species